rnacentral:rRNA from 1 species
UACAGAGGGUGCGAGCGUUAAUCGGAAUUACUGGGCGUAAAGCGCACGUAGUCGGCUUUGCAAGUCGGUUGUGAAAUCCCCGGGCUCAACCUGGGAACUGCAUCCGAGACUGCAUUGCUAGAGUAUGGGAGAGGAAAGCGGAAUUUCUGGUGUAGCAGUGAAAUGCGUAGAUAUCAGAAGGAACAUCAGUGGCGAAGGCGGCUUUCUGGACCAAUA